rnacentral:rRNA from 1 species
AACGAACGUUGGCGGCGUGGAUUAGGCAUGCAAGUCGCGGGAAUGCCCAGCAAUGGGUGGAACCGGCGUAAGGGGCAGUAAUGCGUGGGUACCUACCGCAGGGUUGGGCAUAGCCCGUAGAGAUACGGGGUAAUUCCCAACGAUGUCGUAAGACCAAAGCUCCGGCGCCCUGUGAGGGGCCCACGUGAUAUUAGCUAGUUGGUGAGGUAACGGCUCACCAAGGCGUAGAUGUCUAGCGGGUGNGAGAGCACGACCCGCGCCACUGGCACUGAGACACUGGCCAGACACCUACGGGUGGCUGCAGUCGAGGAUCUUCGGCAAUGGGCGCAAGCCUGACCGAGCGACGCCGCGUGGGCGAUGAAGGCC